CAGCCGACGAUAUCCGCGCAUUCAGGUCAGUCACCCCUCAUAUUGUCUGCGUCUGACGCUUCCGCGCGGUCUUCCGACGAGGUUCGGCCUAUAAUCGUGCGUGGAUGGCUGUACUGACAGGCUAUUGGUACGCGGCUGUACGCUUGAGGCAUUUCUCUCUUCCUCUUGACUGUAUGUGUGUGUGGAUCGUUUAACAGUUUUUGACAUU
ensembl:ncRNA C44H4.11 ncRNA